UGAAUGAGCAUAUGGAAACCCGCUACUGGCUGAUCAAAAUAAAAUAAAAUAAAAUAGUUAAUUAGAAUAAAAAUAUAACAUGCUUGUUACUGUUUUACAAGAUCAUUUUACCUAGGAAAUGAUGUGAUAAAAUAUCCAUAGACCAUUUCCCAUAAAUCAUACUGAUCAGAUGAUCCUCACUAUCUGGUUUCAAUCAUUGAAUAUGGGCUGCAGACCAUUAUCUCUUUCAAACAGUUAAGCCCACGAUCUGGAUGGAAUGGCCCAGUUUCUGUUAUUUCUUGAUUAAAUGAUUUAUUAUUAUUUGAUUAGCUUUUUUAUUGGAUUUCUUCAUUCAAUGAUUUGAAUAUAUUUUCUCAUAAUUGAUGAAACUAGAGGAAAAUUGACUUGUAAUUUUGUUUAGAUCUUGAAACAUUUUAGAAUUCAAAGUCGAUAUUCAGCUGUGAUGAUGAUGAUAAUCUGGGGGGCACAAGUGAAUGGGCUUACAGAAUGGAUGGUCUUACCAACUACACGAGUGCCAUGGGUACAUUGGAGAUGUUCUCAUGUCCCACUUAUAGGUGAUUUGUGAUGCAUCUCCACAUCAAGCUUAGAUCUGAUUCUCAUAAAGUGGAGUUAGGUUCCACUUCUGGGAAGUUCAAUCUACGGUCUCCCUGUUUUGAAUCUACGGUUUUUAUUUGAUUCUGAUUUUAUUUUUUCUUUUUGUUUUCUUUCCCAUUUCUAACACCUUCAAAUUUGGACUACUCACUAUUUACUUUUGACCAUCUACUUGAUAGCCAUCAAUCGGAUAGUAAGGAUUGCUUGAUCAGUGUGAUUUUUGAGAUGCUCCACCCAUAAUGAGUUAUGAGACCCACAAUUUCGAUGAUCUGUAUAGCUGCACAUCAGAUGUUUUUGGGUUAGAUUUGGGCAGUUUUGGAUAUACUAUUUUUGUGAUUUUAGUGUUGCAGCAGGUAAUUAGAUUUGGGCAGUUUUGGAUAUUCUAUUUUUGUGAUUUUAGUGUUGCAGCAGGUAAUUAGAUUUGGGCAGUUUUGGAUAUUCUAUUUAUGUGAUUUUAGUGUUGCAGCAGGUAAUUAGAUUGUUUUGGGGGGAUCAUCAGUGUGCCUUUGUUAUUGACCCAGAAGAUAUUGACAAUGGCUUCAAUGGACUGGUUUUGCAACUUUCAACGGACAAUAUCCUGGCUUAUUGUCUAUUCAAGCUUCUAAACGAGGCACGAUUGUUCCAAUGCUUGAAGCUGUGAUAGCUGCUGUCCAUGUUGAGAAGCUUGCUGUACAUUUCCAUGACACAUAUGGGCAAUCUCUUUCAAAUAUUCUCAUUUCCAUCCAAAAAUGCAUGGAGAGGAAAAUUGUGACUAUAAUAUUUAUAUAUCAACAUCAAGCUUAGAAAUUCCUACACCUUUUCUCUUUCAUAAGGUAAAGUUUGCUACUGAACUUGCUUCAAGAGGCCUUCCAGUGGAUGAAGUUGAAGCAAUGGCUGUUGAAGGCCUUUUACAGUUUGUUAAUAUCUUGCAAUCUAGCAUGAAAUCAGCACUCAAGGAAGACCUUUACUGGUGUGCUGCAACCCUUUCCUUUUUCAACAAAUAGAAAAAGAAGGCUGUAGCUCAGCAAAAGUGUACUAGACCAACCGAAAGCACUCAUCUUGAAGAGGUGGUUUGAUUUUGUUCUCUCAAAUAGCUUGUGUUUUCCAUCAAUUAUAUUUGUGAAAAAAUUGGUUUCUAGGUUUGUUUAUGCUGCGUUUGGAUGCAUCAAAUUUCAUUAUAUUUUCCACCAGAUUAGAUUUAUUAAUCAUGAAAUUCAUGAUUUAGGUGCAACCAAAUACACCCUUAUGAUAAAUACAUGACCAUUUGUCUCCAUGAUUUGUAUUGAGCAUUCUUCUUGUUGGAUACACCCUUAUGAUAAUGCUUUGAUGGCCAGCUACUCUCGUUUUGGGCACAUCAAUAGAGUUUCAUUAUUUUGACUUGAUUCAACUGAAUGUUCACAACUCAAUCUGGCUAUGCAUCUAUAUGCACCGUCAUAUUUCUAGUAGUUAUUAUGCUGUGAUUGACACAUACACAUAUGCAUAGAGAUACGUGUACAUAUACAUAUACACAUACACACAUUUUCUGUGUUAUAUUGUUGAAGCUGUAGAGUUGUUGCUUAUCCCAUUGUUGAACAGGGGAUUGAGCUUUUUCUACUUGAACUAAAACAAUUUCAACUUUUCUUGAAGCAUGAACAUGAAAGGCAACCUCAUUUCCACUUUUCAAUUCUAUUCAAUAGCACAUCCAAACACAGCUAUAACCAGUGCUAAAGAUUAUAUGCUGAAUUCCGUGCUUUGCCUAUUUUUAUGAACUUAUGGCUGUACAUGUUUAUAGGGAUUUUACUGGGACUAUUUAUGUUAAUGCCAUUGAAUAUUUCUACCUUCUGAUUUUUCUUUCAUUUCAAAUGCUUAGUUUUUUUUUUCCUGAUGACUUGUUAUAGUCUCUUGUUUGGUGUAUUUUGAGAUGUCUCCUAUACUAGAGAGCUCGCUAACAGGACUUGCACAACUUCCUUGUCAAGGGAGUUGCAGGUCAUGCAUAGUAAUGUGGCAAAUGUGUGAAACUUACCACAUCAUUAAGUUGAUCCCAACAUGUAGAUACCCUGGCCUAAAAUCAUCUCAAUCAUCCACUUGUUAAGGUUUGUUAACAUGCCCAAAGGAAAAGGACUCUUAAAAGAGGAACAACAGUGCAUUUUUAUUUUUAUUUUUCUUUUGGUUGUUUUGCUAGGUAAGAUAAGCUUUUAUUUGGUUUUGGGUCCAAGUUUGACAUUGCACUAGGAGGGUAGCAACAGGCUGGGCUGGCCCAUUUGGUUUUGGGUCCAAGUUUGAUAAGGUUCGGCUUGGGUUUCCAAAAAUUUUCUAUCAAAGCCCAACCCAAUCUCAAGAAAAGGCCCUUUUAUGUGUCAAAUGGACAUGCUUGGGCCUGAAAUAUCAUGACAUGUAUUACCUUAUAGGUGCAUGUCGAUGGGAAAUGGAUGAAUAAUGAGCUUUUAAUUUUCCAUUUAUAUAUUUUUCAGAUUUUUUUUUUUAAAUUUAAGAAAAUCAGAAAUUCUUACAAUUUGUGAUUGAUGAGCUUUUUAUGUUCUGUUUUUUGUUGACUAGAAGGAUGUUUCCUGUUUAUGCAAUAUGGGGCUAUAACACCCAAUCUAAAGAAAGGGCCCUUAACGGGCCUGUAAAAGCCAUAACGAUCCAAUAUGGCGCUGUAACGGAUCAAUUUGGGCCAUUAAAAAUCUGAUACAAAGGCAAUAUGUUUUUCUUCCUGUAAAAAAGAAAGAAAGAAAGAAAAGAGACCAAUAGAAGGCGGUACGUUAUGGGACCAUUACCCCCUGUAUCAUGACGGGCAUAUAAGGCUUGCUGUUAUGGCCACUGUUACCGUUAUUAACUACCUUGGUUUCCCUUGUCUCAUUAAUCAGAACUAUGUUAUCUGCAAAGAACUUAUAUUUGAUGCCUCUUCUUGUAAAUGCUACAUGACCAAUGGAAAAAGAUGUGCUCAUUGCUGGCCCUAGUUCAAGCCUUGAUCUAUUAGAAACUUCUCUCCAUUAAUUGCCUUCACAUAGUCGCAUUUGUUCUUUCUCCCUCAUACAUCCUUAAUCAUUUCAAUAUAUCCCCUUGAGAUUCAUUUCAAUAACUAGAAUAUUUAGUCUAUGGCCCAUCCAUGUGGUGGCCUACCAGAUUAAUUGCCCAGAUCACCCCCACGUUCUGCUUUUCUUUUGAUGCAAAAUCAAAAUGUCUUUUGUCUUAUACUUAAAAGAAUUCAUGUGGUGGAUGGGCAGAAAUUAGUUGGUUUGCAAAAUACAUUCUCCCCAAAUCGGAUUUUUAGUUGGGUUUCCUCAUUAAGCUUCAUAGGCGAUUUGGGCCGAUUUGCAAUUGCCAGUUUUUGGGUUUGGAUGAGUUGUGGGAGUGAGUCUGCUUUUCUUUAUGUUGAUAAUGUUACAAAGGAAGAGCCAUUUCUGUUUUCAUUCGUUUAUUGUUUCAGGCAGUUCUUUCAAGAUCUUAUGUUUUUCUUAAGUGAUUCUUUCAGAGGUGCUUUUUCAGUAUUUCUUUGAUGAAUUAGAAGUAAGUUUUCUUGAAUCUUUUUUUUUUUCUUUUUUAAUCUUUAUUGUGUUUCAUCACCAUUGAUCCUGGUCUAUAAUUUUCACACUUUGAUUUUGUUGAUAUACUUUGAUUAUAGGCUACAGUUAAUCAUUGUUCUCUUUCAUCAUGUAAAAAGUUACACAUGAAGGAAUGUCUUGCAUGUUACUUAUGAACUAAUAGUAUUACCCAUUGUCAAAUCAUUUACUUUAUAUUGCAAUUCAUUUAUAUGUGCUUCAAGCUUUUGUGAGUGUUCAUUUAUUCAUGUGCAUGCUAAUUCUCAUGCACAUAUAUGUAAAUUAACGGUCAUGUUCAUUUUAUCUUUCCUUCUGAAGGUCUCAUUUGAAGUGAAUUUUCCCACACUAGACGAGCAUCUUUGUUAGCCUUUGCUUUAUCAUUCAGUUUUAAGCAUAAAAAUUCUAUUUUGUUAUUGAUGUUGUGUUUAUACAUUGAGCUUCUAUUUAAAUGCAAGCCAGCAAAAAGAUAGCUGAUGCAAAGCUUGCAAAAGAUUUCCAAGCAAUUCUGAAAGAGUUCUAGAAAGCUCAACGGCUUGCUGCUAAGAGGGAGACAUAUGCUCCUUUUGUUCCUCAAGCAGUUCUUCUUUCCAGGUAAAGUGGAUUAGAUGAAGCAUUUUACCAUUUAGUUUCAGGAAUUUCUUUACAUUUGUUGUCUUCCAAGUAAAUUCAGUGUUUUGUUUGUUCUUCAUCAAUUUUUAUUGGUGGAUUUAUUGUCAUGCACACUCAUAUGAUGGGGAAUCAUAUAUUGUUUUUGUUUUUCAUGCACAACAA